CUCCCUCUCCGUCCUUGUUCAAGCCCCUGCCCCCAAUCCCCGAGCCCGCAGAAGGUGUGGGUUGGGUGGCAUUGGGUGAAGUCAGAAUAAACACUUUCAGAAAGCCCCUAGCUUCACGUCUUAGGAGUCUCCCAACGUUCUGGACUAGGGUUUUAUGACCCCAGCUUCUCUAUUUUCUAGAACUCCUGAGCUGAGAAAACCGGAGGGAGGAAGCCCUUGUCUAGAACCGUUUCAUGCGUCAAUUAUAACACGUCAGAGCCUGGGCCCUCCUUCUGGGGAAAGAUUAACAAAGCCUUAGUUCCCUUGCUCCUGGAUUAACCAGUGGUUAGUGGAGAUGCGAGAAAAGACGCUAAUGCUGGCAAGGCAAUAACAUGGACUUCCUCGCCUUAUUCCUCUUUUCAUCAGAGAUGGCAAAACCAGCAGCUCCUUCUGCCUCGAGUUGCUUACUGAACUGAAAGGAAAGGAGUGUACACAAAGAAGCCAUAGGAACAAAAGCCAGCUGGUGGUGCGCAGCACCUCGUAAACCAGGCACUACAACUCCUGAACUCAUGAUGUAGAGGCAUACGUCUUAAGGAUUCAAGAUCAUCCUUGGCUACCAAAGGAGUUUGAGGCUAAUCUAAGGAAUGAGUCCUUGUCUCCAAAUAUGAGUAAAUAAUCAAAUAAUAAAUCAGUACCAAAUGAAUGAAGAACCUUGGCCUGAUGGCAUCUGUUUAUUUCUGUACUCAGGCUAAGCAGAAUGAUCAUGACUUCACAGGCCAGUCUGGGCUACACACUAGGACCCUGUCUCAAAAGGAGGAGGGAGAGGAAGAGGGAGAGGAAGAGGAGG
rnacentral:sRNA from 1 species